rnacentral:rRNA from 1 species
GCAGUACACCGGAUGCACUGGAGCUUGCUCCUUGAUUCGUCGGCAGUACGGGUGAGUAAUGCCUAUGCAAUCUGCCUGGUCUGUGGGGGACAACGUUUCCAAAGGAACGCUAAUACCACAUACGUCCUACAGGAGAAAGCAAGGGACCUUCAGGCCUUGCGCUAUCACAUGAGCCUAAGUCGAAUUAGCUAGUUCGUGAUGUAAUGGCUCACGUACGCCACGAUCCCUAACUGGUCUGAGACGAUGAUCAUUCACACUGGAACUGAGACACGAGUCCCGACUCCUACGGCAGGCAGCAGUGGGGAAUAUUGAACAAUGAGCCAAAGCCUGAUCCAGCCAUACCGCGUGUGUGAAGAAGGUCUUCGGAUUCUAAAUCACUUUAAGUUGGGAUGAAGGGCAAUAACUUAAUACCUUGCUCUUUUGACGUUACCGACAGAAUAAGCACCGGCUAACUCUGUGCCAUCAGCCCGGUAAUACCGAUGGUGCAGGCGUUAAUCUGAAUUACUGUUCCUAAAGCGC